rfam:Operophtera brumata OBRT01_Sc03046, whole genome shotgun sequence.
CGUUCUAUAAUGGUCGAACUGGUUAAGGCAUCGCCGAUUACAAGCGAAGAUGCGGGUUCGAGUCCCGCUGGAACGG